GAUGAACGCUGGCGGUGUGCUUAACACAUGCAAGUCGAACGAUGAAGCCCAGCUUGCUGGGUGGAUUAGUGGCGAACGGGUGAGUAACACGUGAGUAACCUGCCCUUGACUCUGGGAUAAGCCUGGGAAACUGGGUCUAAUACUGGAUAUGACUUCUCAUCGCAUGGUGGGGGGUGGAAAGCUUUAUUGGUCUUGGAUGGACUCGCGGCCUAUCAGCUUGUUGGUGAGGUAAUGGCUCACCAAGGCGACGACGGGUAGCCGGCCUGAGAAGGUGACCGGCGACACUGGGACUGAGACACGGCCCAGUCGCCAACGGUGGGCAGCAGUGGGAAAUAUUACACAAUGGGCGCGAGCCUGAUGAAGAGGCGCCGCGUGAGGGAUGACGGCCUUCGGGUUGAAAACCUCUGUCAGUAGGGAAGAAGCGGGAGUGACGGUACCUGAAGAAGAAGCGCCGGCUAACUACGUG
rnacentral:rRNA from 1 species